AGGAUGAACGCUGGCGGCGUGCCUAACACAUGCAAGUCGAACGUCCUGUCUCGCAAGAGGCAGGGAGUGGCGGACGGGUGAGUACCACGUGGGUCAUCUACCGUGAGGUGAGGAAUACCGGCGAGAAAUCGCCGACAAGACCGCAUAGGCUCGAUGCAAGUCGAGCAAAGCUCUUUCGAGAGAGGGAGCGCCACACGAGGAGCCUGCGCCCGAUUAGCUAGCUGGUGGAGUAACGGUUCACCAGGGCGACGAUCGGUAGCUGGUCUGAGAGGACGAUCAGCCACACUGGGAUUGAGAACGGCCCAGACUCCUACGGGGGGCAGCAGUGAGGAAUUUUCGUCAAUGGGGGCAACCCCUGAACGAGCAACGCCGCGUGCAGGAAGAAGGUUUUCGGAUCGUAAACUGCUUUUCUCGGGAAGAGAAUGGACGGUACCGAGGAAUCAGCCCCGGCUAACUACGCGCCAGCGAGCCGCGU
rnacentral:rRNA from 1 species